rnacentral:rRNA from 1 species
CUUGACAUCUACAGAAUCCUGCGGAGACGCGGGAGUGCCUUCGGGAACUGUAAGACAGGUGCUGCAUGGCCGUCGUCAGCUCGUGUUGUGAAAUGUUGGGUUAAGUCCCGCAACGAGCGCAACCCUCAUCCUUGUUUGCCAGCGAGUAAUGUCGGGAACUCCAGGGAGACUGCCGGUGAUAAACCGGAGGAAGGUGGGGACGACGUCAAGUCAUCAUGGCCCUUACGAGUAGGGCUACACACGUGCUACAAUGGCGCAUACAGAGGGCAGCGAACUUGCGAGAGUAAGCGAAUCCCAAAAAGUGCGUCGUAGUCCGGAUUGGAGUCUGCAACUCGACUCCAUGAAGUCGGAAUCGCUAGUAAUCGUGAAUCAGAAUGUCACGGUGAAUACGUUCCCGGGCCUUGUACACACCGCCCGUCACACCAUGGGAGUGGGCUGCAAAAGAAGCAGGUAGUUAAC